rnacentral:misc_RNA from 1 species
UGUUGCAAUCAUGGGUAAGGAUCAGGCCAACGUCAAGGGCUGCCGCUUCCGCGUUUCCGUCGCACUGCCCGUCGGCGCGGUGGUGAACUGCGCGGACAACACCGGCGCCAAGAACCUGUACGUCAUUUCCGUGAAGGGCUACCACGGCCGUCUUAACCGUCUGCCGUCUGCUGCCCUAGGCGAUAUGGUGAUGUGCUCUGUGAAGAAGGGCAAGCCGGAGCUGCGCAAGAAGGUGCUGAACGCUGUGAUCAUCCGUCAGCGCAAGAGCUGGCGCCGCAAGGACGGUACGGUGAUUUACUUCGAGGACAACGCUGGCGUGAUCGUGAACCCCAAAGGCGAAAUGAAGGGUUCCGGCAUUGCCGGCCCGGUGGCGAAGGAGUCUGCGGACCUGUGGCCCAAGAUCUCCACGCACGCCCCCGCAAUCGUCUAAUCAGCGCUCCGUAGCUCGCUGCACAUGCAGUACUGCGUUCCAGAGCAUCACGCGACGCACAGCAACACAAACUUUCUUUUUGUUUCUCUUCCAUUCGAAAAAAAAAAAGAUAACACCCACCUCACAUAACGUCCAUAACAAGAGAGCGUGAGAGGAGAGUCUGCUCUUCGACUUCACACCGCGAAUGCGGCAACACGUGGCUUAUACGCAACGCUUCUUUUGGCACGUCAUGCUAAACAGAAUCUCUGCGUAGGGCAACCAGGCUUUCAUCGACCCGUCGUUCGAUCCUCGCUCCUCCGGCAUUCUUGAGUCACGACACGAAUGCUUGGCUCCGUGCGUCUGCGAGCGUUUGUGCGUUCCUCUAAAGCAAGAACGCGGGGACACGACGUUUAUCUCCGCCUCGCGACGCACUUUCUUUACCAACUACGUGCACUUACAACCCCCCGAUCUCAAAACCUCUGCUCAUCGCAUCACUUCUCAUUCCGUCGUUGUGCCUCUCUCUACCUUCAUCUCCCGCUUGUGCUUGGUUUCCUAAUACCGUUCUCGUGUAAUGCCUCAUCCCUUUUCCACUACAG